GACGAACGCUGGCGGCGUGCUUAACACAUGCAAGUCGAACGGACAGGCCCUGCUUUUGUUGGUUUCUCGAGUGGCGAACGCGUGUGUAACACGUGAGUAACCUGCCCUUGACUUUCGGAUAACUUUAGGAAACUGGGGCUAAUACCGGAUAUGAUCUCCUGCUGCAUGUUGGGGGUUGGAAAGUUUCGGCUGUUGGGGAUAGACUCGCGGCUUAUCAGCUUGUUAGUGGGGUAGUGGUUUACCAAGUGUUUGACGGGUAGCCGGCCUGAGCGGGGGACCGGGGACAAGGGGACUGAGGGAGGGAGCAGAAGGGAACGGGACGCAACAGGGGAAAGUAUGACGGAGUAGGGGGGAGUGAGAGAUGAAGGCCCUGGGAGCGGGAAGAUGGGUUACUGGGGGUGAACAGAUUUCGAAGGUGACGAGGAGGGAGUGACGGUACUGGAUAAAGAAGCAACGGCUAACUACGUG
rnacentral:rRNA from 1 species